CCCGGAAAACAUACAACAACCCUAUUAUCUCCAAUGUCAAUCACAGGACAUCUAUAGGACACUGUCAUGGCAAUUAAGGCAGAUACAGACCAAUUGCUUUUAAUGCACUUCUAAUUAAAAUUAGAAUUUUUGUCUGCAAUGCGAUAGGCAGUUGCAAUAAUCAAUGCUACUUUUAAAAAAAAGCAUAAAAAUAAAACUAGAAUUUGGUAUAUAAAAAAGUAUUACAUCCAACACGUCUCUCAAGAAAUUUAUGAUCCUCUAAUCUUCUCCCCCACCUUCCACCAAACAUGAAGAACUGAUGACUGUAGUUUGGGGUAAAUAGAUUGAAAAAACCUAGGAAUACAUAUCUGAUUAGAAGCCAAGGAUUAAAGGUCAUGUUUCUUCUAUCUAUUGCCAGUGUCUACAUCAAACCUACUUCUUCUCAUCUGAUGGAGAAACUUCAUCAUUUGAUGGAGAAACAAUCCUUUGAAUAGUAUUUACCAAUUCUGCUUUUAAUAUAUUCUGGAAAAUGGAUUUUAUAUAAACACAGUUACAGCCUACAAGUCUUAUCCUCAACAGGAACUUUGCUUAGUAUGUAUGUGUAAUAAGUAAUAAUAACAAACUUUAUUUGUAUCCCAUUACCAUCUCCCCGAAGGGACUCGGGGUGCUCACAAAAGCACUCAAUAGUGUGAAAACACAUAGAAUACAGUAAGUACAUGAACAUAUAAAACAGAACAAUAAAAAUUUUACACCCAAAGUUUAUAUAAAACAAGCUAUAAAAACCCUACUGAUAAAACUUCUUCAGUAAAAUGCAACAAGCUGCUGAUAUAAAUAACUGAAUACAAUGUCAGUCCCAUAAAAUGCAAAGUGACAACAAUCGCUAUGUCUUCGAAUUUAAUGGUUAAGGUAUUAGACAUGGUCAAAAGCUUGCUUUAAAAGCCAUGUUUUCAGAUAUGUCCAGAAAGCUUGGAGAGUGGGGGGCUGCCUUAUCUCUCUAGGGAGGGCAUUCCAAAGCCAGGGAGCCACCACUCUCUCUCGUCCCCAUCAACCACGCUUGAAACGGGGGUGGCACCCAGAGGAGGGCCUCCCGGCAGAUCUUCGUGCCUGUGCCAGUUCACUGAAGGAGAUGUCGUCUCAAAGAUAGGUUGGACCCAAAGCGUACAGGGCAGGGGUCCCCAAACUACGGCCCGUGGGCCACAGGCAGCCCCUCAAAGCCAUUUAUCCACCCCCCCCCCCCAUCAGGGUUACUCGUUCUGGGCAGGGGGAGGGACAGCCAAGAGGAGGAAGGCUGCUGCUGCUUCUGCAGGCUGUUGGCAGCAGGCAGGCGGGGGAGGGACUUUAGGAGCCUGCCUGUCAUCCUUCUCUUCCUCUCCUUCCUUCUCUUCCAAAGUGGUGGCAGCGGCGGCAGCAUGGCUGCAGGCUGAGCGUCAUCCUCUUCCUCACCUUCCUUUCUUUUCUUCCAAAGCAGUGCUGUCACCACUGCUUUGGAUGAGGAGGAAGGAGAGGAAGACGAUGACACUCAGUCUACAGCCGCAUGCUGUCUCUGUCGCCGCUUUGGAAGAGAAGGAAGGAGAGGAAAAACAGGAAAAUGGUGCGUGGGCACCUAUUUAUUUUUAUUUAUUUAUUUACAUCACUUUUACCCCACUCUUCUCACCCGUAGGGACUCCUAAAGUCCCUCCCCCACCCACUGCUUUGGUAGAAGAGGACGAAAGGACAGGAAAAGGUAAUGCUGUAACCCACCUUGAGCCGUCAGGAGAUGUGGCUUGACCUUCCGUCGUCUUCUUGACGGACGCCAUCUCCUGCUUUGAAAACUCGGAUUGAACUGACCACGGCUUGUCUUCCCCCUUCUGGACUUGGAAACUACAAACGUCUACUUCUGGCUUUGAACCACGGAAAGGAACUGGGUCUACUCUUCUGCUACAAUCCUUGGCUGAUCUGUUCGUGUUGGAAAUCCUGUCUGCUGUGUGUGUGUGGGAGCGACGCAAGUUCCUCUAAGCACAGUGUUGGCAGCAGAGAGGAAUCUGCUGCCAAUUAGUUGCAUUCUUUUGUAUCUUUUGUUCCUCGGCUUUUGUUUUGUUUACCCUCAGGCUGAAGCAAGCAGUUUGUUUUUACCCGGAUUAAACUUCGGUUUAAUCCGGUUUAUCUUUUGUACGUUUUUUCCUUGUCCCUUUUUUGCUCCUAAAGGCUAAAAUUGCCUGGCCCUUGUGUUUUACGGGCAUUUUUGAGUUCUGUAAUUAAAUAAACUCUGUUAUCUUGAA